rnacentral:rRNA from 1 species
AAGGAAGACGGCCCUACGGGUUGUAAACUUCCUUUUGUACAGGAAAAAACCACCGGUCGUGAACCGGUGCUGAUGGUACUGUAAGAAUAAGGAUCGGCUAACUCCGUGC